rnacentral:lncRNA from 1 species
CCCUCUCUCCUCCCUCUCUCUUUUCUAGAGCUGCAAUUGGGCCGGGCUGGGCCAGGUCAUAUCCCUACCCGAGCCCAGUCCAAAAUACUUUUUUCAAGCUUCGGGCAGGCUUAGGCUCGAAAAUUUGUUAAAAUUUAAAGCAUGAGCCUAAUUUGAACCCAAUCGGGCUAGCCCAAAUUUUCUUAUUUGGGCCAAAUAUUGGAGUGGGCCAAACCUACAAAAAUGAAAGGAUAAAAGACCCUCCUCAGAUCUAAGGAUGAG